rnacentral:rRNA from 1 species
UACGUAGGGGGCAAGCGUUGUCCGGAAUCAUUGGGCGUAAAGCGCGUGUAGGCGGGUCUUUAAGUCAGGGGUGAAAUGCCAAGGCUCAACCUUGGAACUGCCUUUGAUACUGGAGAUCUUGAGUCCGGGAGAGGUGAGUGGAACUGCGAGUGUAGAGGUGAAAUUCGUAGAUAUUCGCAAGAACACCAGUGGCGAAGGCGGCUCACUGGCCCGGAACUGACGCUGAGACGCGAAAGCGUGGGGAGCAAACAGG